AAAAACAUGCCAACCCCUAAUUAAGACAGAGGGAACGGGUCAAGUUUUUAAGAUAACCCAAGAUGCUAAAUGGGUCAUGGUGCGGCAUUUCCUUAGAAGUCUCGCGAGAAAAAGGAGAGGCUGGUGUAGUGUGCUCUGCCUCUUCUCUCCGCCAGUCAAUUCCAGCUGCUCCCAUCGCCACCAGAUUUCGCCAUUUUUGUGCUCUCAUUGAAGAGUCAGCCAAAAAGAAAGAGCAUCGAAAGUAAUGGCGACCAAGAUAUGCGUAGUGAUUCGAUCUUUUCAUCACCCAAACCUUUUGUGGGGCCUUCCACCUUCCACACGGAGGAUUGCAUUGCCUGAAUCACGAGUCUUAUAUACUGUGUUGCGAUCACCUCAUAUUGAUAAAAAGUCCAGAGAGCAGUUUGAAAUGGAAAUCAAGAAACAAUAUCUCGUCAUAAAAACACAACCGCAUGAAUUGCAGAAGAAGUUCUUUUGGCUGAAGCGCCAACGUAUAUUUGGAGCUCAAUAUGAACUCCUAUUUUCUUGCAAGACCCGCUUGGAUAAGGAAAAACUGCAGGGAUUGCUCUGAAGCAAGAUCCUUGCAUUGACCCUUCCCUGAACCAGAACCAGCAUAGCGCCGCUGGUUGCUUCUGAUUAACAACACAAUAUGAAGUGAGGGUAAAAGAGCACUUAAAAUGAUGCCCUAGUUUGGGUUGUGGUUUGGUGUUUUGCAAGUUUUGGGAGUUUAAAAUGUGUUUUAAUCGGAUAGGAUGAUGGAGAACUGUUGUUGGUAACAGUGGGAUUUGUUUAAUUUAUUUUUUUGGUUGAUUGUCU